CCUACGGGGUGCUGCAGUGGGGAAUAUUGGACAAUGGGCGAAAGCCUGAUCCAGCCAUGCCGCGUGUGUGAAGAAGGCCUUCGGGUUGUAAAGCACUUUCAGUGGGGAAGAAAGCCUUGGGGCUAAUACCCUCGAGGAAGGACAUCACCCACAGAAGAAGCACCGGCUAACUCCAUGCCAGCAGCCGCGGUAAUACGGAGGGUGCGAGCGUUAAUCGGAAUUACUGGGCGUAAAGCGCGCGUAGGCGGUCUGAUAAGCCGGUUGUGAAAGCCCCGGGCUCAACCUGGGAACGGCAUCCGGAACUGUCAGGCUAGAGUGCAGGAGAGGAAGGUAGAAUUCCCGGUGUAGCGGUGUAAUGCGUAGAGAUCGGGAGGAAUACCAGUGGCGAAGGCGGCCUUCUGGACUGACACUGACGCUGAGGUGCGAAAGCGUGGGUAGCAAACAGGAUUAGAUACCCUGGUAGUC
rnacentral:rRNA from 1 species